rnacentral:misc_RNA from 1 species
GAGGGAGAAACCAAGAAAAAGCACUGAUAAGCCGGAAAAGUUGAAAAACUACGACUACAAGUAUGCUAAUGAUGAUAAAAUUUCGAAGUUAAGGAUGUCUUUUGACCAAGUAGAGAGGUCUAGGAGGAGCGUGGAAUUCUUUGAGAAGCCUCGAAGAAGCAUCGACCAGCAAAUGGAAAAAGCGCGAAAAAGUGUGGACUGGCUAGAUAGAAUAAGAGCUGGUUGAUAUAUUUGUAAAUUUCAUGUUCAAGUCAAUUGUGGGGGAGUAUAAUAGUGCAACAACUUAACAAUUAAUUUAUGGUUAUCGGGUGUGAUUUAGUUAAUGUUCAACGGAGCCUAUCUGUUUCUUUUCUUCUUUGUGCUUCUUCUUUCUGUUAUGAAAAGAACAAAUGAGAAAUAUAGUUUGG